GGCCUUGAUAUAAUGUAGGAACUAAAUAUGAUGGACUAUGGGAGAGUCUUGGUGGGGUUUACAGAAUAGAUAAAUAUAAUAACCCAAUCAUGUUGUGAAGAGAUAAUGAUAGAGAAAUAUGAGCAACGAAAGUAAGGAAUAGAGAAUAAAGGAGUGUAAAACUAUAAAAAUAGAGCCCCUCACCCAAUGGGUUGUCCAUGUAAUCGCAUGAUCACAGAUGUUUUACCAAUAUAAUUAUAUAAUCAUUAUUUUUUUUUUAAACAAGAUAAUUAAAUAAUCAAUAUUCAAUUAUAAAUGAUCAUAUAUUUAAAACUACAAUGCUAGAUUAUCACAUAAUCAAAAAUUCGUGAAAUGUUUAGUUUUGUUAUUGCUUGAGCCCCCUGAGGGUUCACUGAUAAUAAUUAGUUAGAAAUAUAGCCUAUGGAGGAAUAUUCGGAACCUUAAUUAUGGUUCAAUCGGAACAUACAUGAUUGAUUCUCCUUGUCUGUGUUAGCUUCCUGCAGUUAAGAGCACCUCCAUAUGGAGCAUUUAAGAUAUCUAAAACUUCAAUGGCAAUAAAGAACUUUACAUAGAUCGCUAACUCACUUAUAUGCUAUAUGGUAAUAUAUAGUUGAUAAUCUAUAUAGAAGAAAACAGAAAUAGAUUCCCAUACGUAUAAUUCUUAAAGAAUAAUAAUGAUUCAAAACAUGGACACAUGUACCUUAGUCUUUCAAAAAAUCAUUAAAUUUAAUUAAUCUAGAAAUAAUUAAUGAGGCAUUGCGCAAUGUUCAACUAGUAAUCAAAGAGUGUAACUCUCCCACGAGACGCAUUGAGAGAUUAAAUAAUCUUAUAUAAA
rnacentral:lncRNA from 1 species